rnacentral:rRNA from 1 species
UACGUAGGGUGCGAGCGUUAAUCGGAAUUACUGGGCGUAAAGUGUGCGCAGGCGGCGCCGCAAGUCGAGUGUGAAAGCCCCGGGCUUAACUUGGGAAUUGCGCUCGAAACUAUGGUGCUGGAGUGUGGCAGAGGAAGGUGGAAUUCCACGUGUAGCGGUGAAAUGCGUAGAGAUGUGGAGGAACACCGAUGGCGAAGGCAGUCUUCUGGGCCAACACUGACGCUCAUGCACGAAAGCGUGGGGAGCAAACAGG